GCUUCAGGAACACUUGGCAGUGGUAGAGCGCCAGCACGUACUGCAGCGCCAGGUCCAGCGCCCCUGGCGCCACCGCGACCCCCGCCCCGCCGCCCAGGCUGAGUAGUAGCGCCUGGCCCGCUAGGGUCUGCAGCCCCACGUGGGCCGAGGGGUAGAGGAGGAAAUUGAAGACGAAGGCGUUGGGACAGCGCCGCUGCUGCAGGAUGGUGUUUCCCUUCCUGUUUGCUGAUCCACUGGGGCUGUCCCAGAAAGAGAACUACAACGCUACUCUUUCCCAUGCCUUGCUUGUCCACAGUUCUGGAUGUUGGGAAGCAGAAGAACAAGGUGCCAGCAGAUCCAGUGUCUGUGAGAGCUGCUGUCAGCUUCCAGAUGGUGCCUUAUUGCUACAUCCUUUAAGGUGUUGAACCCUGUGUCUUCACAUGGCCAAAAGAAGAGAAGGGUCAUAGGAAAUGAAACAGACUGCUGUUUUCAUGAGAAGCAUUUACAGAGGGAAAUAAGGACACUCACCAAAUAGGGCUAAUUUGAAGAAGGACACAGCUGACUUAGUAGGAAGAAGGCAGAAGAAUUAUCUCCUGGUAAUCAAGACUCUGAAAAUAAGACUUAAGAUAAAAGACUGGAUACAUGCAAGAACAGAGUUCUUAAAGAUCACCAGCUGAAGAUUGUGAUUUUUCAUUCUUCUAUGCCCUAAGACAGCCAUAUUUUACCAUUUGAAACAUAAAUAAAAAUGACUUCCAGGCUUAUUUGAUUACAGACUGAAUUGCUCUAUCAUAGGAUGACAAGCAAUGACAGAUAGGUUCCCCAUAAAGAAAAGUCUGUGAGACUCCAUAUUUCCUGUAAAAGAUGAUAUGAGGAAACCGGGCAGAUUUUUCUUUCAUUCAUACUCUUUUAUAUGGGGGCAAUAGUACUGUCAAUCUCUAUUAUAUCAUUAGGUUACCUGGAAGGUCUUAUGUUUGGCAGUGGAAUGUAAGUUUUAGGGUAAUUUUUCUGAGUGGCAACCCAAGGCCAAUGUAGUAAAUUUUGAAAGAUCAAUUAAAUUACAGAAAAGGCUUGCAUAACAUAAAUGUGUUCUGCCCACUUGUCAACAUGGGUAAAGAUAUUAAUAUUGUAACAAGUGCAAUGACAGAAUUUCAUUUUCAGACUCCAGACUUCUUAACAGUAGCAGUGGCAAGGCAUCAAACCAGUGAGUUUUGCUUCUUUAAUAGUUUCUAUAAAACUUGACAGCCUUUCUGUACAUUGCAAAUACUCUAAAACCACAUUGACUUUAUACAUUAGCUAAACUGCCUAGGAACUUUUUCUAGAUACAACUAAUUCCUGAAGGUGAAGAAGACAGUGUGAGUAUUGCAAGAUCAUGGAUGCAGUUCUUCGAGGUAAAGGCUGUUUUACUCACAUUUGUGAUGUCCUGUUUGUCACAUAAAAGAAAGUCAAUAGAUGCUUCACUGAUUGAAUGUAUAAAGCUGUGAGCUAUGAAAUUUCUCUGAAGAAAAAGGUGAAAAGUCUGAAUUCUUCUUGUGCACCUCAAGUGAUAGUCAUUGUUAAGUAAACCUAAGUGGCAUGAAAGUGUAGGGUCAAGGAUGAUAAAAGGGACAUUUUAAAAUUAUAUUUAAACAGGAGGUGCCAUGGCAUAAUAUUUUCAGUUUAGAAUCAAAAAAGAAAAUGACUUUUUCUGCCAAAGACAAAAGUGUAAAUCUGUUUCCUUCUCCACCAUAUGCCACAAAUAAAAAAAAAAAAAAAUCACAGAUGUCAAAGAGAACACAGGCUGGAGGAAGCCAUCCAGCUACAAGGACCAGUAAAUAGUCAAAACCCAUUCCUAGCUCAACAGUAAAGCAAAAUCCAAUAUUUAAUAAGCAUAGCAGAGAGGAGGAGAGUUGUAAGAUAUGUACUUAAAUUUUACCUGCAUGCACAUAUGUCUUCAGACCUUCAGAUUUGCUCUCACUCCUGGAUCCAAAGUUCUGUUCUCUACAUAAUUUUUGUAUUGUUCUAAUUUUUCCUUUAGAACUUAUGUCAAGCAUCAUGCAUUCUUCCCUGAUUUUUUUUUUUUUUGGAGCAAUCUUCUCAACUCCUCCCAACAGCAUAUUACAUAUGCCUCUCUUUCUCCAUUUGCUUUUACUCCAGUUAGAAUUUGGGAGCCCAACAGGAUUAUAUCUUGUUUGUAAUAGCUGCUCUAGCUCCUAGCACACCAUUUGACACAUAAAGGUAAUAAACAAAUAUUUAUUAAGUAGUUGUUAAUUAAAUCCAAAACUUGGUAACAAAAACACAUUAUCAAAUAAAUGAACAUCUCCCAGCAGGCAAAGAGGACCUAACAAUCAUUGAAAACAUGACAAGUCUAGGAAAAGAAACCAGAAGAGAAGAAAAAUGAAAAUCUUCUGUAUUCCCAUAUUUGAUUUUUCCAAUUCGUACAGCUGAUAAACUAUCCAGUCUAAAGGCAGUGUCAUUGUUAGUGCAUUAAAAUACUGUAAUCCCAACACUUUGGGAGGCCAAGGUGGGUGGAUCACCUGAGGUCAGGAGUCCAAGACCAGCCUGGCCAACAUAGCGAAACCCUGUCUCUACUAAAAAUACAAAAAUUAGCUGGGUGUGGUGGUGGGCACCUGUAAUCCCAGCUACGUGGGAGACUGAGGCAGGAGAAACAUUUGAACCCAGGAGGCAGAGCUUCCAGUGAGAUGAGGUAGUGCCAUUGCACUCCAGCCUGGGCGACAAGAGCAAAACUCCACCUCAAACAAACAAAAACAUAAAAUAAGGCUAACUGAGGACUUUAUCUAUCUUAUUUAACAUAUAAAAUAUAUUAAUGUGAAGUUGUACAUAAUAACUUGUGAUUUUUUAAUACCGAAGCAUCUGUAUCAGUUUACUUUGUUCUACUUCUUUUUUCUUUAUUAGUUUCACCAGUAGUGUAU
rnacentral:lncRNA from 1 species